ACGGGGCAGAGGGACUAUGUUGUGAGCCUGCGAAAGAAGUUUGUGUGGGGACUGUGGGCAGUGAACGCGUUGGGAACAAUAUGGAAAACUGGGAGCCGCCUUGGAAUCUACAGGGCCGGGCUGAAGAAAAGAAGAAUGGUAUUCACGCAGUUCCCAUUUUACAGAUGAAAACAAGAGGACUUUUUCUGUGAAGUCAAGAAAGUGGUUACAAUGGUACUUUCAGCCUGUCCGAAUUAUGUAUUGCCCCUCCCCUUUUUAUUAAUAACAUUGAAGUGUGAUGGGACAACCACUGAAGCCGUCAGUUGAAACCUGCUGGGACUUUUUAGCCAUUCUCUUCAACAUAAAGAAUGGGUGUUUUUGGAGGGGGUGAGAGGAAUGGGGAAAUGUUGUCAAAGAGUACAAUGUUUUAGUUGAGACAGGAAGAAUAUAUUUUGUUGAGAUCUACAGCACAGCAUGGUGACUGUAGUUAACAAUGAAGUAUUGUGUAUUUCCAAAUUGCUAAGACAAUAAAUUUCAAAUGUUCUCACCACAAAAAAG
rnacentral:lncRNA from 1 species